rnacentral:rRNA from 1 species
UACGUAGGGACCAAGCGUUGUUCGGAUUUACUGGGCGUAGAGGGCGCGUAGGCGGCAAUUCAAGUCAUCUGUGAAAUCUCCGGGCUUAACCCGGAACGGUCAGGUGAUACUGUUUUGCUAGAGUGCGGAAGGGGCAAUCGGAAUUCUCGGUGUAGCGGUGAAAUGCGUAGAUAUCGAGAGGAACACCAGAGGUGAAGACGGGUUGCUGGGCCGACACUGGCGCUGACAGCGCGAAAGCCAGGGGAGCAAACGGG